rnacentral:lncRNA from 1 species
AUUCCAAUUAACUACUGGCCGUCCUUAUUAGAGCAAGUAGCAAAAGACUUGAUGGUUGGUAUCCGAGGUCGCAAGUUUGAAUCCUAGUUGAUUCACAUUUCUAGUUAAGUUUAUUUCUAAAUAAAAUAAACGAAGCGGGUAGCAUGCUAUCUAUCUCUAAAAAAAAAAGAAAUUCCAAUUAACUGAAUAAUUUUGGAUUUCGAAUUUUCAGUUUAAGUUCG